UACGAAGGGGGCUAGCGUUGCUCGGAAUCACUGGGCGUAAAGCGCACGUAGGCGGCUUUUUAAGUCAGGGGUGAAAUCCUGGAGCUCAACUCCAGAACUGCCUUUGAUACUGAGAAGCUUGAGUCCGGGAGAGGUGGGUGGAACUGCGAGUGUAGAGGUGAAAUUCGUAGAUAUUCGCAAGAACACCAGUGGCGAAGGCGGCUCACUGGCCCGGUACUGACGCUGAGGUGCGAAAGCGUGGGGAGCAAACAGG
rnacentral:rRNA from 1 species